ensembl:lncRNA
CUGAUUAUUUAAGACCUUGUAUGUGAGGAACAGGAUUUUGAAUUCAAUUCUGGAUUUAACAGGAAGCCAAUGAAGGGAAGCCAAAACAGGAGAAAUCUGCUCUCUCUUUCUAGUCCCUGUCAGGACUCUUGCUGCAGCAUUUUGGAUUAGCUGAAGGUUUUUCAGUGAGUUUUUUGGACAUGCUGAUAAUAAUGAAUUACAGUCGUCCAGCCUGGAAGUAAUAAAUGCAUGAACUAGUUUUUCAGCGUCACUCUGAGACAGGAUAUUUCUAAUUUUAGAGAUGUUGCGCAAAUGGAAGAACGCAGUCUUACAUAUUUGUUUAAUAUGUGCGUUGAAGGACAUGUCCUGGUCAAAAAUGACUCCAAGGUUCCUCACAGCAUUACUGGAGGCCAAGGUAAUGCCAUCCAGAGUAAGAAUCUGGUUAGAUACCAUAUUUCUAAGCUUUUCAGGGCCGAGUACAAUAACCUCAGUUUUUUUUUUUUUUUUUUUUUUUUUUUGCCUGUCCCGUUUGGCUCUUUUGCCAUCAGAAUUGUUGUCUAAAGGCGAAGAAAGAUGCCCAACGGAUUUACUUUACCAAACUGACCAUCCCAGCCUUGCCAUAAUGGUCCAUUUGAUUCACCUUUUAUUGUUUAUUUUAUUUUCACUUACUGAAUACGGGACAGACUUGACUGGGGGAAAGAAGGGGAGAAAGAAAGAGGGAAAGAGAAACAGCUGAGAAGAGGGACGGGGGAGAAGGGCAAAAGACAAAAACCAACAGAACGGGCAGAGAAAAAAAAAUGCAUAUAUCGAUCACCUGGAUCACCUGCUGAGAAAGAAAAAAGAAAGCAAGCAGAAGAGAACAAGAGUAAUAGAAUAAACAACAUCACAAUGAUAUAUGGGAAUAUGACAGUAAAUACUAAAUGUUAAACAUUAUUGUGCAGCACAUAAGAUCAACAGAACACAGUAGAAAAAAAAAAUGCAUAUAUCAAUCACCUGGAUCACCUGCUGAGAAAGAAAAAAGAAAGCAAG